UACGAAGGGGGCUAGCGUUGCUCGGAAUCACUGGGCGUAAAGCGCACGUAGGCGGAUUGCUAAGUCAGGGGUGAAAUCCUGGAGCUCAACUCCAGAACUGCCUUUGAUACUGGCGAUCUUGAGUCCGGGAGAGGUGAGUGGAACUGCGAGUGUAGAGGUGAAAUUCGUAGAUAUUCGCAAGAACACCAGUGGCGAAGGCGGCUCACUGGCACGGUACUGACGCUGAGGUGCGAAAGCGUGGGGAGCAAACAGG
rnacentral:rRNA from 1 species